UAAUCUCUUAGGUUCUGCCUCUGAAUUGUGCUAUUUUGGAAUUAAAGGAACAAUGCAGCAUCUGUCUAAAGUAACUAGAGGCCAGCCUUACUUGAAAGAAAGCAGUCAUUAUCUACUGAUGUCCUGGUUUAAAAAUAUAUUUCAGCCUUUUUGUCCGACAUCUUAACGCGGUUGUAGUGUUCGCCGCUGCUCUCCGAGCUUCGCAAUGCCGCCCAAGGACGACAAGAAGAAGAAAGACGCCAGAAAGUCAGCCAAGAAAGAAGAAGUGGUCCAAAGGCAAAGUUCGGGACAAGCUCAAUAACUUGGUCUUGUUUGACAAAGCUACCUAUGACAAACUCUGUAAAGAAGUUCCCAACUAUAAGCUUAUAACUCCAGCUGUGGUCUCGGAGAGACUGAAGAUUCGAGGCUCCCUUGUCAGGGCAGCCCUUCAGGAGCUCCUUAGCAAAGGACUUAUCAAACUGGUUUCAAAGCACAGAGCUCAAGUAAUUUACACCAGAAAUACCAAGGGUGGAGAUGCUCCAGCUGCUGGUGAAGACACAUGAAUAGGUCCAACCAACUGUACAUUUGGAAAAAUAAAACUUUAUUAAA